rnacentral:piRNA from 1 species
UAGGAGCUCAGGUGGGAAGAAGCUCUCACU